rnacentral:tRNA from 1 species
GGCGCCAUGGCUUAGUUGGUAAAGCGCCGGUCUAGUAAACAGGAGACCCUGGGUUCAACUCCCAGUGGUGUCU